GCGAUCUUUUUUGUAUCAUGGUUGACACUUGCAGUCAGUCAUACACACAGUACAGAGAGAACUCCACAUGAACGGCUCACGUGGUGACAUGCUCUCUGUCACACCACAAAAUACCUUCUUCAUUAAAACCAACAAACUUAUGUGAGUCAGUGAAUUCCUUGUUCAUGAAUCUCUUUGGACAGACGCUCCUGAGGCAGGUGAACAAGGAGGCUCAAGGCCAUCAGGGUCUGUCCGGUGCUUUGUCAACAGCCAGACUGCACAUCUAUUGCUCUGGGACAGCAGCUGCUACUCGUGGUGGGGAUGUUUCAACUUUUCCUCCAUCUAAGAAGAAAGACCGGAUUUAAAGAAGGCGGAGGAGCAAAAGUAACCGAUUAAAGCACACAUAGGAAGCCUGCUUUUUGUUCCCUGUUUACCAAGAUGGUCUUUCAGAUUCAAGGUUGCAACACUUUAAAUGAAAAUAUACAUAAGCCAACAUCUCACCUGUCUGAAACAGGGCUCAGCGUGGGACAGCGGCACUGUAUUGCUCUACCAGGAUCUUAGAUCAAAGGGAUCGGAAAAGUCUAAAGACGGGGUGAAGACGCUCAGGAAACCGGCCGAAAAGGGGGCUCAGCGUGGGACAGCGGCACUGUAUUGCUCUACCAGGAUCUUGGAUCAAAGGUAUCGGAAAAGUCUAAAGACGGGGUGAAGAGCUCCCUAGGACUUGACGUUAGCAUGACUCGUGGCGUGCUGGGGGAACACCGUCAGCCCUGCCCUCUUGCCUGCUGUCCAGUCUCUGUCCCCUCAGCUCCAUCCCCUCCAUCCGGAUCCUCUCCACCCGUCCCGUCACCGGAACCGCGCCCUCUGACCGCGCUGCAGCUGGACGGCGUGCUGGGAGCCGAGACCAUUCUGCUUUCCCU